rnacentral:rRNA from 1 species
UGGGGAAUCUUGCGCAAUGCGCGAAAGCGUGACGCAGCAACGCCGCGUGGGGGAAGAAGGCCUUCGGGUCGUAAACCCCUUUCAGUUGGGACGAAGGUCGGGCCGUUAAUAGCGGUUCCGACUGACGGUACCUUCACAAGAAGCCCCGGCUAACUACGUGCCAGCAGCCGCGGUAAUACGUAGGGGGCAAGCGUUGUCCGGAAUCAUUGGGCGUAAAGAGCGUGUAGGCGGCCCGGUAAGUCCGUUGUGAAAGUCGAGGGCUCAACCCUCGAAUGCCGGCGGAUACUGUCGGGCUAGAAUCCGGAAGAGGCGAGUGGAAUUCCUGGUGUAGCGGUGAAAUGCGCAGAUAUCAGGAGGAACACCAAUGGCGAAGGCAGCUCGCUGGGACGGUAUUGACGCUGAGACGCGAAAGCGUGGGGAGCAAACAG